rnacentral:rRNA from 1 species
UACGUAGGGUGCGAGCGUUAAUCGGAAUUACUGGGCGUAAAGCGUGCGCAGGCGGUUGUGUAAGCCAGACGUGAAAUCCCCGGGCUUAACCUGGGAAUGGCGUUUGGGACUGCACGGCUCGAGUAUGGCAGAGGGGACUAGAAUUCCUGGUGUAGCAGUGAAAUGCGUAGAUAUCAGGAGGAAUACCGAUGGCGAAGGCAGGUCCCUGGGUUAAUACUGACGCUCAUGCACGAAAGCGUGGGGAGCAAACAGG